rnacentral:rRNA from 1 species
AACGUAGGUUCCGAGCGUUAUCCGGAUUUACUGGGCGUAAAGCGCGUUCAGGCGGUUUGGCAAGUCGGGCAUGAAAUCUCUCGGCUCAACCGGGAGAGGUUGUCCAAUACUGCUGGACUUGAGGGCAGUAGAGGGUGGUGGAAUUCCGGGUGUAGUGGUGAAAUGCGUAGAUAUCCGGAGGAACACCAGUGGCGAAAGCGGCCACCUGGACUGCACCUGACGCUGACACGCGAAAGCUAGGGGAGCGAACGGG